rnacentral:tRNA from 1 species
AAUAAAGUAAGCUAAUUUAUAAGCUAUUGGGUUCAUACCCCAAAUAUGAUUAAUUAUUAAUCCUUUAUUA